rnacentral:rRNA from 1 species
UACGUAGGGACCAAGCGUUGUCCGGAAUCAUUGGGCGUAAAGCGUGCGUAGGCGGCUGCGCAAGUCGGUUGUGAAACCCCGGGGCUCAACCCCGGAACUGCAUCCGAUACUGCGUGGCUAGAGGUAGGUAGGGGAGAUCGGAAUUCCCGGUGUAGCGGUGAAAUGCGCAGAUAUCAGGAGGAACACCGGUGGCGAAGGCGGAUCUCUGGGCCUUACCUGACGCUCAGGCACGAAAGCUAGGGGAGCGAACAGG